UGUCUGUUUGGGAUGUCCAGUGUCCCCAAAAGUAACAUCACAGUGCUUUCUGUUACAUCUAAGUUCAACUCAUAAUGAGCAGUACCUGGCAGGCACAAAUGCAGCAUGUUCUGGGGAGUAUGUGGUGGUGUGUUUCCAAAUCAUCAGUAACCUACUGCAGGAAUCAGCUGCCAGAAGCCCUCAUGUUGCUGCCUUCAUGCUGUUUCUUCACUUUCUUCAAGGGCUUUAAACUCCCUUACUCUGGUGUCUUGGUUUGACCGUUUUCAACAGGCUGAGUACUGAACAUGAGCCCUUAGGAGAGGUCCCUGCAGUUUGCAAUGCGUAGAGUCCUUGAAGAGCACCGAGGUCGUGUAGUGUUAAUGCCAUGCAGGCACAUGGAGGGGUUCUCACUGCUCGACUGCUCCAUGCUUCUGCUUUGCACCACUUAAUGAGCCUGGAGUGAAUUCUCACAACCGUGGAACAAGGCUGAGGGCCAUCAGGUUCCUGGAGAAGCUCUCCUACCCCAGCUCUGCAGCUAUGGAUCUACAGCCAAUAUGCUCCUCUCCAGUCUCUGUCUGUCCACGGCCAAAGCCUGGCCUUCCCAGUGGCUCGGGCUUCUUGCAGAGGCAGGCAACGUCCCUGGAGGUGUGUGGAAAAGUGCCUACAGGUUUCAGUCUGUUUUGUGUUUCCUUUGCGAAGCAUGGACUUGAAUUUCUUCAUUUGCUUCCUGAAGUUCAAAGCCAAGGUGGGCGCACUUGGACUGAACGGCCUAACCUGGUGAUCUAACAGUGGUGCUUAAUCUUUCAGGGCAAAAAUGAAGACUAUUGCAUGCCAUCCAGAACAGAGCAUUAAUGGGACAUUCAGGUUGCAGCUCCCACACUGGGUGCCUGGUGACUUCUGGAGCUCCCUCAGUGUUGGAGACGCCAUGCAGGGCUGGCAGACUGGGGCAGGACUGAGGGAGCCACUGGGAUGCUGGCAGCUGCAACAAGACCAAGCUCAGAUCCUCAGAAGCCUUGACUCAGAGUUACGUGGCUGUGCCCAAAGGCUCCCUCUCCUCUCUGCCUCUUUGGGCACCACCCUGCUGCCCUUCUCCCCGCCCCACAACUCCAGUUCCCCACGAAUGCCCUCACUGUCAUAGAGCAGGGCAGUGAGGAAGAGAGCACAGAGAAGGCCAGCCAGGCAUUCCCUUUCUCACCACGGAGAGGAAGGCACUGCUGAUCUGGAAGGCAUUGCCUCUGCCCAGCGGCUGCAUUGCAUUGCUCAUCUCUCCUCCUCCCUGCUGCUGCCCUCAUUUGGCUGAUUCUGUAGAUGAAAAGUGGCCUUUAAAAUAUAGGACAAGGUCAUGCUUCUCUUCCUGCAGUCACAGCCCUGUGCAGCUGUGCCCUGAUGCUCACUAACAGCAGCUUUGAGGAGGCGCUGUCUGCAGGUGCUGAAUGCCCCAUGGGGAUGCAACACCAGCAGUGGUACACAGGCAGCAGCAAGGGUGCAAGUUGGCGGUGAUGGGGUGCCCACCUCCAGCACUACCACAGCAUCCACCCAGAGAGGCACUGGGCUGGGGGGCUGGGGCUGGCAUUCAGUUGUGCUGCUGCUGUUCCAGAGUGGGUUUCUUUCCAUCGUGUGUCCUCUACACCGUUUCUAUGAGACAUAUUGACAGUUUUGUGCCAUGCAGUACAAAUGCACAGUCCUGUUUGUGGGUCUCCAGAGCAGAGGGAGUUGUGCUGAUGUGUUUGUAGUUGUUCCUGCCCCAGUAGUGCCCUCUACUAUGGGAGGAAGGUUGCUUUCUUUGCAAGCAGAAAACACUGCUCUUGCUCACCAUGUUCCUGCUUGCCCCUCCUGGCACUGCCACUAUUAGCUACAGCUCUAUUUGUCCAUGGUGCAUCUCGGCAGAGGAACUGGCAUGCCAGCAGUCCAGUAGCUUUCAGAGCUGAUGCUUUGCAGACUAAGAAAUGUGACGAGAGUUAGGUGGGCAUUGUAGUGUUUGCGAACAGCAUUAGAGUGGGACACAAAGGUGCUGUCUGGGAGGGCUCAGCAGUGUUAGGUUGUCCUGAGUGCUCCUUAUUGUGCCUUCUUGCCCCUGUUGUUGCUGCUAGACUUUGUCCUCUGUGGUCCAAACUGUCAGUGCUUCAGCCCGCAUGAGCCAAGGUAAAGUGUGCAAAUGAACUUCCCUGGGAGCAGUCCAAGCCUGAAAGUCAUCUGCUCUCCCCACAAGCAUGAAGAGAUUGAAAAUAACAGGCUUGCUAUCUCAAGGGGAAAUGAGUCGAAGGCAAAGCCUCCCAGAAGCAAACACUGAGCAGCAGAACCCUGUCUUGAUGAGAAUUUUUCUCACUGCAGUCCAGGUGGAUGCCAGGACUCCCAUAGCGCUUUCAGUUAACGGAGGAAGAGAGACCUGAUGUCCUGGCCAGCACUGUGUCUGUGCAAGUGCCCAGGGCUGUCCAAGCUGCUGACAACUGUUCUUGGAGCUGCUGUGUGCUGCCAGGAUCUAGCUCUCUGACAGGAGUGCCCAGUGUUCCCAGGAAAGGGCAAGCUGCCGCCCCAUCCCUGAGGACUGCUGUGUUCUCCAGGGCUCUGCACCGUCCAGCUGGAAGUGAUCCCCCCAGAGUAGAGGAACAGGCAGCACAGGCCUGGGUGCUGAGCACACUUCUCCACUGAGCUGUUGGCUGAGUGCCUUCUACCUGCAGACCUUUCACAGCAAUCUCCUGGAAAAGAGGUGCUAUUGCUGAAGAGAGGCAGCAGAUUGUCAAUCCUCAAUGACCAGAUGGUGUUGUGCCUCUGUAUGUAGGACAGGGUGGACCUGUAGCUCUCAGUGUUCUUGAAUUGAGUGGUGUCUGAAAGCCUCCUUUCACCUCUCUGAAUAGCAAUGUAAGGCUCAGACAUUUGCUGCCUGCUCCUGACUGUCAGGUCGGUGGAUCUGAUGGAUCCCCAUGGGUGCAGUACUGGAGGUAGGACAGAGCUGCUACAGGGGUGAACUUGGCCUCCUGGAGUCAAGAAGCAAUUACUGUAACAUGGGCCUCAUGGACCUGGCCCUCUGAGUGGCACCGGGUGAAGCAUCCAAAGAAUUGAUCUUUCUCCAGCUUGAAAUUCCUAUGUCUGUCUCUGGCUGAGGCUGGAAGAUGCACCCUUUGAGCAGCUUCUGUCUUGGAGAUGAGGAAGAAGUCCUAGGGAUGACUGUCCUUGACAAAGGGGUGUCUCGCUGAUUCUUUGUCUUGUACAUUUCUCAAUAAUUCCUUUUGGCCCAAAGACACUCAUUAUUUAUCUUUCAUAGCCAAGAACUCUGAAUUCAGAAUUUAUAACUUCAUUAAGAUAUUUUGUUUAUUCGCUUCCCAAGUUAUACUGGGGCAUGACAACCAUCCUUCUAUCUUUCUGCUAAGGAAUUAAGCCCAUGAUUAGCUGCUAAUUUAUUAGCCCCUUUGUGCGUAAAGCUGUCUGCAAUUAGGUAUUGAUCACUCACACAGUGAUCUUUGGGUUUCUCCCACAGCUUGGGCUGUGAUUUCAGCUGUAGGAGGGAGAUGACUGGCUUGGUCCUUCCCCACUGUGUUGUUAUCCGUUGGUCAAUCAGAAUUGUACAAAUAACUGAGUUGUGCUUGAUUAAGAUUUGGGUCCCUUCCAACCUGGAAUAUUCCAUGACUCUAUGAUAAUGAGCCUGAUAUCAUACCAGAGCCCUGGGUAGUUGGUAUUUGUUAUCAAAGCGGAGAGACAUACCCUGUUUUACCUGCUUGUGCCAGGUGUUUCUCUGCCACUUUGCAGUCUUGUCAAUUGCAAAGAACAGAAGAGGCUUGGAAGAUGUCUCUUUGAAACCACAGUGUUUCAGGGUGAUCAUUCUAAUGUUUUGUAUGGGGUGGAGCUGUACAAAAAAUAUCUCCUGUCCAUGUUGUGAUCACUGGACAGGCUCCUAGCCAACUGAUGUAAUGCUGGCACGAGGUGUUUACAUCUUCAAAGUCAUUGAAAAAGUAUCUCUGAGCUCCUGAAUAUGCAAUGUCUGAGACCCCAUUUGGCUCUCAGGUGUCAGAACGAUACCUACCAUAUCUCAAACAGUGAUGCCCAGAAAGACUUGGCUCUUUAGAGCCCAUCAAAGUGAGAGCCUUCCAUGGGUGUUAGUCAAAAGAGCAAUCUAGCCUUCAGAUUAGUAUUUUGGGGUAAUCUCCAAAAGCAUUAUAAAUAUCUUGGGAGCAGUCUUUGGAUUUUUAUGGAGCAUUACCGAUGGAGCUUCUGGUACUUGACAUGGAGUUGAUAUAAAGUGGCUCAAUUAAGGACUUAAACCCCUUUCAAAGACUCAAGCAACUUGAUGCCUUUGGCUUCAGGAUGGGCUACAGAAUGAAAAUAUAGGCAAAUAUGGAAACUCUAUUCAGGCAGAUCCCAAAGGUGCUCAGUAAAUCCAUAAUAGAGAUGCAAUUGUUUGCUCUUUCACGCAUACGCUCACAGAGGCUGUUGCCAAACUCCCUUGAGUCCACGUCCUGUUCAGUUCUAUUGGCCUGUUUGGCCCUGCUGCUUCCGGAUGUCCUGAGUGUUUGUAAGACUGUUUGCUGUCUGAACCUGCCUAUCUUCAUUCAAAUAAAGCCCCAUGGUUUUGGGGUUUAGUGCAUCAAAGGUGUGUAUUUUGGCCACUCAUUUACACAAAAUAUCCAUAGCUUAUUGAUGUUUGCUCUCUCAUAAGCAAAACGCCACAUGGCUCACAGCAGCUGACUCUCGGUGCCGACAAGUCGAGGGAAGUAGAUGCAGUGGAGAUAAGCUCUUCCACACUGCUUCCAACAGGGACUCUGGAGAAGAGCUCUGCUGUGAAGUUCAGGCACCAUCAGUCAUACAAUCAAAUAUCAUUAAACUUCUCCCAGAAGAUUGGCGUUAUGAAAAUCUUGUAUUGUACUACUGCAUUUUAGUAAGGCUGGGCAGAGUGCUUAAAGAGGUCUUGAGAAGGAAGCAGGAAGAAAUCUAAGCCAGGCCAGGCAGCCAAGAAGAAUUAGAGUGGAACCAGACCAGAAUGAUUUCAGGCUGAGAAGUGACCUGUGGUGGACCUCUAAUUACUCUGCCAAAACAACACUGAUGUCUGAAGCAUCUAUUUGAUUUUGGGGGCAUGGAUUUGGGAAGUAGCUGCUUGUUGCUGAAGACUGUAGAAACUCUGACCCAAGAUGACCCUUUUAUUCCUCUACAAGCGAGGGUAUAGAAUGAAAAGAAUAUAAAGGAGACUUGUACUCCUGGUCCCACUGCAGCUCACAGCAGCAGAUGAAAAUAGGAACAAGAGUGUGGUAGGCAUUGGCUGCUGCCUGCUGCUGUUCAGCCACUAUGGGCAACGUCAAAGAAACUGCCUCAGUCUGUCAAUAACCAUCAAUUCAGUGAAGCUGAAGAGAUCAAAGCUUACAGCAAAGGAGAGGUUUUAUUGUGCAAGCCCACCAGGGUCUGUAAACUUGCUUCUACGAGAGAUCAAAAGCUGAAAGGGUGCAUGACUUGUCCAAACUUCACUUUUGGCUUCACAGGCCCCAUAGGCACUGCCAGCCUUACACUCAGACAGAACCAAACGCUGCAUUGCUCCAAACCGUUAGCCUCAGGCAAAAUACCCGGUAUGGUGGCAUUCCUUGGGAAAGGAGGAUUUAAGUACAGAAAGCCUAGCUGACAGUGAAUGAUGCAUUGCUGUACAGCAACAGGACCACUGUGCUUUUCCUAACAGAGCUGUGACAUGCUGGACUCCGUCCCAGGGCACAGCGUUAUAGAUGGAGUGGGAAAGAGACACAGAGAGGAGAAGCCUUCUGUGUGUGCAGUGGCCUGUGGCAAAUGGUCCAAGUGGCAGGUACUGCAGACAGCAGCAUCACCCCUGGCCAAAAGGUUGCUUUGGUCAUCUUCCAGAGCCUGCUUUGCAUUCACACUGCCAGGUCCCAGUAAGGAGCAGUUGGUGCAGCCAGGUCAGUGCCCACACUGCCACACAUUCCCAUUUCAGUAUGGGGGCUUUGGGAAUUUCCCAGGAGUGGGAAUCAACUGAAUCAUAGAAUCAUAUAAAGUUGCUCAGGUUGGAAAAGAUCUUAAAGAUCAUCAAGUCCAACCAAUGGCGUUUGAGUUCUGCUAAGUGAUGAACUUGGAAUUUGAGCUGCAAUUCAGCAAUAAUUGAUGUAGUACUUGUUUUAAUGUCUGCCAUUAACUGCAAAAGCAGAAAAUGCAGCAUCUGCAUGACACUGCAAUGGCAGAUGAUCCACGACUGCUCAUUUUGAGAUAUGACGAAAGAGAGCAGGACACCUGGUUUCCAUCCUGCUCUCAGUGAUGCACCAGGUCACACCCAUUUCUGUAACAGUUGGAUUGUACCAAGGAUCCCUCCUGCAGGUUGCACCCCCGCUGUGACGUACGAGCAGCACUUGGCAUGAACAGGUUUCUCUCCAGUCCAACUCAUCAGAUGUCAUGGGAAGACAAUUUUAUAUUGUAGGAACACUGCAGCUGUGGAAGGCAGCCCGGUGGCAAUCUCUUCAGCAUGCCUGACCUUUGGUCCGUAUGGUCUUUUAUCCAUAGCCUUUCACAGAAUCGCAGGGGUCGGAAGUGACCUCUGGAGAGGUCCCUGCUGGUAGGGUUCCUCUGGGAUAACCUGGUGUUGGUCACAGGAACUGAACUGCAGGCUGAAGCUUUGGUUCACAGGGUGAGAGGGAAAGCAGCCUGGCACAUGGCUCCUGCUUGGUGCUCGCUGCUGUAGUCAGAACUCAGAAGGAAAUCCUGCUGGGUGGCUUUGCAGCUACUAACAUAAAAUCUUGUCCAGCAUACCACUGGCUGGGCACACUGCACGGUGCUACUGUGCCCCCAGCUCCUGGGACAGUGGCACCGAGAGCAGCAAGGGCACUCAGGGUUGGCAUCCUGUAUUGCACUGGGAGCUCAACUGUCCCCUGACCCUGCAGAUGCAUCCUUAAGGAUGCUCUGAGUGAGGCAAGGAGGGGUGAGAGUGCUGUGUGCCCCCACCACUCCACCGUAGCACUCCUUGCUAUGGGCUCAGAUAUACAGGGAAAUCUGCACAGCCCUUUCUCCUUUGGUUAGAGUGGCAUCCAGUGGCCCAUACGCCUUCUUGAGGGCUGUGUUACAGAGCCCUUACUCUCACUGGCAUGCAAGUGUCCAUCUCCAUUUCAAAGUCUCUUCCUCAAAACCCUCACCUGAAUAUAGGAACCUCUGCCUCCUUCCAUCUCUGCCCUCCCCCUAAGGUCUGGCCCAGGGUCCCUCCCAGUGCUCUGCAGAGAUCUCCUGCAGGCUGCAGUGCUGCUGGCUUUCUGAUGUCACUCACAGAGUGCUCUUAGCCAGGGGCAGCGAUGUCGCAAUAAAUACCCUCUUGGGUGCACAUGGGAGGACAGAGAUGGAACUGCAUUGCCCCCACCCUCAAGCUCCUCAGACAGAACAGAUGGCCGGGCCGUUCCAUCAUCCUUUCUGCCAUGGCUGCCCCCAACCCAACCAGACCCAACCCUGUGGCCUGGGCUCCUGCUCAGCAUUCUGCACCCAGCUCUGCUGUGCAGCAUUGGGCUCAGGUGCUCUCGCGGCACCUGAGAUCAGCCCUGUCUUCUGAGACAUCACACAAGUACGGCUGGGGGUGUGUGCAGGGGAUUUAUUAAUAACCUGCCUGAUUUCACCUGCCUGCUCAGUCAUAACAGUCCCAGACAUGCUGCCUUUCCUCCCCCGUUUUCCAUAUGCUAAUGCUUUCCUCUCACCUGCCAGGGGCUGCUUCAUGUCAGCCUGACAGACAGCCCUUUAACUUUCUCCUCCUGCAAACUGUGUGGUCCAGGAGAAGGAGGUCAUCUGCCAGAGGAGGUCUCGUGGCCCGGUGUGUUUCCAAACCAUUUGGAGCCCUGAGUGGAGGGAGCCAAACCAUGGUUUGGGGCCAGUGGCCCCAGGUCCCUGCCCCAUGCUGCUGCACCCAAUACAUCCCAGGGGUUGCUGGCCUUCAGCAGCAGGUGCUGCACUGUCCUGCACUAGGUCUUCUGAGCUGGAUAGAGACGUGCUCUGGAGCUGUUGCUCAUGGCUCCCCUAAACCUUCUCUGUCUUCGCUCCUUAAAAUGGCUCUGUGUGCAGCAGGGUGAGUCUGGACACAGCCCAGGCCAGCUGAGCACUUGGCUGCUGCAGCACCACAUGCUGCAGGUCCCUGCAGGCAGCAGGGCUGCAGUAGCCCAGGUAGGGACAAGGGGGCCACAAAAGGGUGAAGGCAGGAAAGGUCAAGUUUAGGCCUGGGAAGCUCCAGAUGACCUUUGCCUCUCCUGCCUGCUGCUGCCCACAGGGCUUUUCCCCUUCUCUCCUUAGGCCUGCAGGGGGCUGAAGCCAUCCCCUGGAGGAAGCUGCUUGCUGGGGAGCAGAGAGCUCCCUGUAUCCCUCUGCAUUCAGUUCCACAGAUCCCCAAGCCAAGGCAGUUCUCAUGCUGUCCUUCGCUUUGUUUUAGGGGCCUUCAAUAACCAAGAACUUUCAGAAAGGCAGGCAUGGGACAUGAACCUCCAUUUGUCAUUUGUUCUGCUUGGAGUCUGUUCUGCCCACUGCCCCGCAACAAGCCCAAAUGUUUCCCCUCCCCGUACCCUUCUCCCAGCUACUGGAGGAGGCUGGCGUCCUUACCAGGACCUGCAAAGAGCUGGAGAUGGGCACCAGAAUUUCCUGGGCCAGGCUGGGCAGUGGGGGCUGGUGCUGAGCAACCCCUGGGGUCCUGGCGAGGCCCUUCCCAGCACCCUGUUGUGCCUUCCCUCUCCCUCAGGCUCCCAGGUAUCAGGCUGUGUUUCUCAGUAGUUAUUACCCAUGUUGAGCACCUCCCUCUAUUCUUGGACCUUUCGAGCAUCUUUUGUUUCCCAGGCAUUCUCCUCUCCCUCUUUAUUUUUAAAUUAAAAAGGAUUUAAAAAAAAAAAAAAAAAAAGACGUUUCCAUAGGAACUUUGGUGAGAAGCUGAUUCCGACCUCAUUAUUUGCUCAGUGAAAGGAACUUUAUUUUCAUCUGUUUGUGUACAUUGUCAGAUUUUGGCUAAACCUACUUUCCUGACUUUGUACAGCACGUUCUUUUAAUCUUCAUUUCAAAUGCAUUCAUCCCGUGGCUUAAUUUAUCCCAUAUUGUGAUCAAAUUUAGCUGAAAGCGAUCUGCUUUGCCAAUUUUGAAUAUUCAUCAGCUGCCUCGUUCAUUCACCAAAGCAAACCCCGCUCAGAGCGGGCAGCCACAACUGCAGCAGCCUC